UGGGGAAUAUUGGACAAUGGGCGCAAGCCUGAUCCAGCCAUGCCGCGUGAGUGAUGAAGGCCCUAGGGUUGUAAAGCUCUUUCACCGGUGAAGAUAAUGACGGUAACCGGAGAAGAAGCCCCGGCUAACUUCGUGCCAGCAGCCGCGGUAAUACGAAGGGGGCUAGCGUUGUUCGGAUUUACUGGGCGUAAAGCGCACGUAGGCGGACUUUUAAGUCAGGGGUGAAAUCCCGGGGCUCAACCCCGGAACUGCCUUUGAUACUGGAAGUCUUGAGUAGGGUAGAGGUGGGAGGGAAUCCGGGUGGAGAAGUGAAAUUCGUAGAUAUUCGGGGGAACACCAGUGGCGAAGGCGGCUCACUGGACCAUUACUGACGCUGAGGUGCGAAAGCGGGGGGAGCAAACAGG
rnacentral:rRNA from 1 species